rnacentral:rRNA from 1 species
AGUGAACGCUGGCGGUAGGCCUAACACAUGCAAGUCGAACAGCAGCACAGUAAGAGCUUGCUCUUACGGGUGGCGAGUGGCGGACGGGUGAGGAAUACAUCGGAAUCUACUUUUUCGUGGGGGAUAACGUAGGGAAACUUACGCUAAUACCGCAUACGACCUACGGGUGAAAGCAGGGGAUCUUCGGACCUUGCGCGAUUGAAUGAGCCGAUGUCGGAUUAGCUAGUUGGCGGGGUAAAGGCCCACCAAGGCGACGAUCCGUAGCUGGUCUGAGAGGAUGAUCAGCCACACUGGAACUGAGACACGGUCCAGACUCCUACGGGAGGCAGCAGUGGGGAAUAUUGGACAAUGGGCGCAAGCCUGAUCCAGCCAUACCGCGUGGGUGAAGAAGGCCUUCGGGUUGUAAAGCCCUUUUGUUGGGAAAGAAAAGCAGCAGGCUAAUACCCCGCUGUUCUGACGGUACCCAAAGAAUAAGCACCGGCUAACUUCGUG